CUUGGUCAUUUAGAGGAGUAAAAGUCGUAACAAGGUUUCCGUAGGUGAACCUGCGGAAGGAUCAUUAUCGAAAUUAUUGGUGAGGGUUGUAGCCGGCCUUUCGAGGCAUGUGCACGCUCGAGCCCUUAAUCCACUUUACACCUGUGCACUUAAUGUAGGUCGCCCUUAAAAAAGGUGACCUAUGUCUUAUCAUCAACCCAUCGUAUGUCUCAUAGAAUGUAAUCGAUAUCCUCGCCCUGAAAAAGCGUUGAUAAACUUAUACAACUUUCAACAACGGAUCUCUUGGCUCUCGCAUCGAUGAAGAACGCAGCGAAAUGCGACAAGUAAUGUGAAUUGCAGAUUUUCAGUGAAUCAUCGAAUCUUUGAACGCACCUUGCGCUCCUUGGUAUUCCGAGGAGCAUGCCUGUUUGAGUGUCAUUAAAUUCUCAACUCCAAGGGUUUCACGACCUUUCGGAGAUUGGACUUGGAGGUGCUGGCCGCAUAUUGGUCGGCUCCUCUCAAAUGCAUCAGCGGAAUUCAACCUUUGGCUUCCGGAUGUCAGUGUGAUAAUCAUGUUGCGCUGUCGUUUGAUCCCUCAGAGUCCGCUUAUAAUGGUCUUCGGACAAAAUCAUCAUCAAAUUUGACCUCAAAUCAGGUAGGACUACCCGCUGAACUUAAGCAUAUCAAUAAGCGGGAGGA
rnacentral:rRNA from 1 species